rnacentral:rRNA from 1 species
UACGGGGGGGGCAAGCGUUGUUCGGAAUUACUGGGCGUAAAGGGCUCGUAGGUGGCCAACUAAGUCAGACGUGAAAUCCCCAGGCUCAACUUGGGAACUGCGUCUGAUACUGGAUGGCUUGAAUUCGGGAGAGGGAUGCGGAAUUCCAGGUGUAGCGGUGAAAUGCGUAGAUAUCUGGAGGAACACCGGUGGCGAAGGCGGCAUCCUGGACCAUAACUGACACUGAUAAGCGAAAGCCAGGGGAGCAAACGGG